CAGGAGACUAGUAAAAUGUUUAGUAGAUGGGUGUGUAUAUGUUGCAUGUUACAUUUCCACUGUUUAGAAACAAAAGCCCGCUCCAUUAUUCCUUUUCAGUUUUCGUGGGUGCUUUUCCUUU